ensembl:lncRNA novel transcript
CCCCAGACGCCGACGAUGGGGUCAUGGCGCCCCGAACCCUCCUCCUGCUGCUCUCGGGGACCCUGGCCCUGGCCGAGACCUGGGCGGGCUCCCACUCCAUGAGGUAUUUCAGCACCGCCGUUUCCUGGCCGGGCCGCGGGGAGCCCAGCUUCAUUGCCGUGGGCUACGUGGACGACACGCAGUUCGUGCGGGUCGACAGUGACGCCGUGAGUCUGAGGAUGAAGACGCGGGCGCGGUGGGUGGAGCAGGAGGGGCCGGAGUAUUGGGACCUACAGACACUGGGCGCCAAGGCCCAGGCACAGACUGACCGAGUGAACCUGCGGACCCUGCUCCGCUACUACAACCAGAGCGAGGCGGACCCCCCCCAAGACACACGUGACCCACCCCCCUCUCUGAACAUGAGGCAUAACGAGGUCCUGGGUUCUGGGCUUCUACCCUGCGGAGAUCACAUUGACCUGGCAGCGGGAUGGGGAGGACCAGACCCAGGACAUGGAGCUCGUGGAGACCAGGCCCACAGGGGAUGGAACCUUCCAGAAGUGGGCGGUUGUGGUAGUGCCUUCUGGAGAGGAACAGAGAUACACAUGCCAUGUGCAGCACAAGGGGCUGCCCAAGCCCCUCAUCCUGAGAUGGGUCACACAUUUCUGGAAACUUCUCGAGGUUCCAAGACUAGGAGGUUCCUCUAGGACCUCAUGGCCCUGCUACCUUCCUGGCCUCUCACAGGACGUUUUCUUCCCGCAGAUAGAAAAGGAGGGAGCUACUCUCAGGCUGCAAGCAGCCAAAGUGCCCAGGGCUCUGAUGUGUCUCUCACGGCUUGUAAAGUGUGAGACAGCUGCCUUGUGUGGGACUGAGAGGCAAGAUUUGUUCAUGCCUUCCCUUUGUGACUUCAAGAACCCUGACUUCUCUUUCUGCAAAGGCAUCUGAAUGUGUCUGUGUCCCUAUAGGCAUAAUGUGAGGUGGUGGGGAGACCAGCCCACACCCGUGUCCACCAUGACCCUGUUCCCCACACUGACCUACAUUCCUUCCCCGAUCACCUUUCCUGUUCCAGAGAAGUGGUGCUGGGAUGUCUCCAUCUCUGUCUCAACUUCAUGGUGCACUGAGCUGUAACUUCUUACUUCCCUAUUAAAAUUAGAAUCUGAGUAUAAAUUUACUUUUUUCAAAUUAUUUCCAUGACGGGUUGAUGGGUUAAUUAAAGGAGAAGAUUCCUAAAAUUUGAGAGACAAAAUAAAUGGAAGACAUGAGAA